UUCUGGCAGGCCCAUGUGCAUAUAUAGAAGAAGCCGCAGAGAGAUUAGGGUUCAGACUUCAGAGUCGUCAAAAACCCUGCGGUAUUCUUCUGGAGACGUCGCGGCCAUCGUUCUGGUGACGCAGUAGCAGCCUUUCCCAUCCUACAUGAGGGCCAAGUGGAAGAAGAAGCGCAUGAGGAGGCUGAAAAGGAAGCGCCGAAAGAUGAGGCAGAGAUCCAAGUAGGCAGCUUUUGCUCCGUAGUCCGCAUCGCCGCCUUCUCAUGGCGUGAGCUGCCCAUGUGAGGUUUUGUAGACUGGAGGUUGCUCGUGAGGGUUUAUUUCUCUGUAUUUCGGUUUUCGUAGUUUUCGGGUUAUAACUAUUUGGAUGUUAAAUUAAAUGCUUUAUGACAGAGUUUAUUUUGCUUCUAAUCACAUAAUUAAGUAUGGAUUUGGUUAAA